rnacentral:tRNA from 1 species
GCCUGGGUGGCUCAGUGGGUUAAGUGUCUGACUUCAGCUCAGGUCAUGAUCUCGAGGUUCGUGAGUUCGAGCCCCACGUCAGGCU